rnacentral:lncRNA from 1 species
CCUCAUCUUGUGGCCAUGCCACCACAUCUUUGAACUCCUCCAUGGUCCACCUGUGUGCAGGGGGCGGGUCAUAAAGCCCUAUGAUCAUCUUAGUUGUGGCCACCUGCCCUCUGUGGAUGGACUACAAUUUGGCCUCCAUCAGAGACAUCUACAUGUCUCUCAUAAGGAAAGGCUUUACAUCAUGAGCUGAUGCAUGUCCCUAUGGUGGACCUCUCCUCCUAGGCCGUCUCUGAGGCACUAGCUGGGCCGCCUCAUCUCCUCCGCAGUAUUGCCUAUAAUAAGCCUCAUCAAUGGCUUUCCUCGGCCUCUACAAUGGUGG